rnacentral:rRNA from 1 species
GAUGAACGCUGGCGGCGUGCCUAAUACAUGCAAGUCGAGCGAACAGACGAGGAGCUUGCUCCUCUGACGUUAGCGGCGGACGGGUGAGUAACACGUGGAUAACCUACCUAUAAGACUGGGAUAACUUCGGGAAACCGGAGCUAAUACCGGAUAAUAUAUUGAACAGCAUGGUUCAAUAGUGAAAGACGGUUUUGCUGUCACUUAUAGAUGGAUCAGCGCCGCAUUAGCUAGUUGGUAAGGUAACGGCUUACCAAGGCAACGAUGCGUAGCCGACCUGAGAGGGUGAUCGGCCACACUGGAACUGAGACACGGUCCAGACUCCUACGGGAGGCAGCAGUAGGGAAUCUUCCGCAAUGGGCGAAAGCCUGACGGAGCAACGCCGCGUGAGUGAUGAAGGUCUUCGGAUCGUAAAACUCUGUUAUUAGGGAAGAACAAAUGUGUAAGUAACUAGGCACGUCUUGACGGUACCGAAUCAGAAAGCCACGGCUAACUACGUG